rnacentral:tRNA from 2 species
UUUACUUCUUUUUAGUUGACACAAGUUAAAACCCUGUACCAGGAUGAUCCACAGGGAAGAGCCGGGGAUAGCUCAUUUGGUAAACCAAAGGACUGAAAAUCCUCGUGUCACCAGUUCAAAU